CAAACGGCUGGCGGCGUGCCUAACACAUGCAAGUCGAACGAGAAAGUCGGUUUCGGCCGAUGAGUAAAGUGGCGCACGGGUGAGUAACGCGUGGAUAAUCUACCCUUUAGUCCGGAAUAACUUGCCGAAAGGUGAACUAAUACCGGAUGACAUCCCGGGUUCUCCGGAAACCGGGAUCAAAGAAGGCCUCUGCUUGCAAGCUUUUGCUGAAGGAUGAGUCCGCGUACCAUUAGCUAGUUGGUGGGGUAAUGGCCUACCAAGGUUAUGAUGGUUAGCUGGUCUGAGAGGAUGAUCAGCCACACUGGAACUGAAACACGGUCCAGACUCCUACGGGAGGCAGCAGUGAGGAAUAUUGCGCAAUGGGGGCAACCCUGACGCAGCAACGCCGCGUGAGUGAGGAAGGUUUUCGGAUUGUAAAGCUCUGUCGAGCGGAAAGAAAUGCACGAUGGCUAAUAUCCAUCAUGCUUGACGGUACCGCUAGAGGAAGCACCGGCUAACUCCGUG
rnacentral:rRNA from 1 species